CAGGUGAGGUCUCGGAUGCAGAGGACUAUUUACUCUGUGAUGAGGGUUGUGAAAAAUGUAAACGCGAGAACUUGCAAGAUCCGGAUCAGAAAACAGUUUGUCUAAAAUGUGGAGAUGGUUAUUAUCAUGACGACGCUGCCAUGGUGUGUGCUCCCUGUGAAGAUAAACACUGUCAAAUCUGUAACCAGUCCCAGUGCUA